UAGGGAAUCUUCCACAAUGGACGCAAGUCUGAUGGAGCAACGCCGCGUGAGUGAAGAAGGUUUUCGGAUCGUAAAGCUCUGUUGUUGGUGAAGAAGGAUAGAGGCAGUAACUGGUCUUUAUUUGACGGUAAUCAACCAGAAAGUCACGGCUAACUACGUGCCAGCAGCCGCGGUAAUACGUAGGUGGCAAGCGUUGUCCGGAUUUAUUGGGCGUAAAGCGAGCGCAGGCGGAAUGAUAAGUCUGAUGUGAAAGCCCACGGCUCAACCGUGGAACUGCAUCGGAAACUGUCAUUCUUGAGUGCAGAAGAGGAGAGUGGAAUUCCAUGUGUAGCGGUGGAAUGCGUAGAUAUAUGGAAGGACACCAGUGGCGAAGGCGGGUCUCUGGUCUGCAACUGACGCUGAGGCUCGAAAGCAUGGGUAGCGAACAGG
rnacentral:rRNA from 1 species